GCCCGCCUAGCUCAAUCGGAUAGAGCGUCAGACUCUUAAUUGGUCUGGUUGUGUGGACUCAAGCGGAAUCUGAAGGCUGGGGGUUCGACCCCCCCGGUGGGCU